rnacentral:rRNA from 1 species
GACGAACGCUGGCGGCGUGCCUAAUACAUGCAAGUUGAGCGCUGAAGGUUGGUACUUGUACCGACUGGAUGAGCAGCGAACGGGUGAGUAACGCGUGGGGAAUCUGCCUUUGAGCGGGGGACAACAUUUGGAAACGAAUGCUAAUACCGCAUAAAAUCUUUAAACACAAGUUUUAAGUUUGAAAGAUGCAAUUGCAUCACUCAAAGAUGAUCCCGCGUUGUAUUAGCUAGUUGGUGAGGUAAAGGCUCACCAAGGCGAUGAUACAUAGCCGACCUGAGAGGGUGAUCGGCCACAUUGGGACUGAGACACGGCCCAAACUCCUACGGGAGGCAGCAGUAGGGAAUCUUCGGCAAUGGACGAAAGUCUGACCGAGCAACGCCGCGUGAGUGAAGAAGGUUUUCGGAUCGUAAAACUCUGUUGGUAGAGAAGAACGUUGGUGAGAGUGGAAAGCUCAUCAAGUGACGGUAACUACCCAGAAAGGGACGGCUAACUACGUG